GAGAGUGAGAGAGAGCGAGCGAGCGAGAGAGAGAGAGAGAGGGAGAGAGCGAGAGAAAGAGAGACCUCACACACAGAAAAUACAUGUUCGAGUUUAUCACAUGCAUGUGUAGAUGGACAGUAGAUGCAAUGUGCUUGUGUUUGAUGUGUGUUUGUGUGUCCGUGUAUGUAUGUAUAGUGUGUGUGGGUUUGUGUGCGUGUAUAAGUGUGUUUUCUGCCCUAACGCUGAACCUGGACUGCAACCAUGAUGAUGACAGCUCAUCCCAAGGGGGUGUCCUGAACCUGAACACCAUUUGUGUUGAUAUGUGUGUGGAGGUUCAGCAAAAGGACACACUUGGGUCAAAGUGUGUGUGUGUGGGUGUGUGUGUGUUAGUUCAACAUUUCACAACUGAUCACUUGUCUCCUACUUUGGUCAGCAUAGGAGUUUUUUUUGGUCAUUUCUUUGCUUCCUCUUUUCAUCCACCACCUACCAUCCUUUCUGUUUUCAAAUUAAUUUAUCCACUUAUCCUUUUACCAAAAGCUCCCCUUUAACUUAAUUGGCUGCACAUUGUUAUUGUUAUUUUGCUAAUAAUUGUUAUUUUGAUAAUAAGUUAACUCUCAAAACAGUUAUAUCUGCUAUUUGUAGUGGAUAAAAAUAUAGUUUAGUAUGGUAGUAGUAUAAUAAAUAAAGUAUAUAUACUUAGAAUAUGAUACCAUGUUUGCACAAGUAGUUGUUUGUAUUUUGAGACGAAUGCUGGAAGACCUCUAUUACAAAAAACUGCGGCAACUGGGGAAUUCCCUACGCACAUCGAUGUGACCCGAAAAAAAAACCCCAGCUGGGAUAGGCUCCAGCUCACCUAAAGAUAAAAAUAGAAAUUGAAAAUCUGUAAAUGGUUGGAUGAAUUUUUCUCCAGAACCCCCCAGUAGAAAAAAAACAACGAUGAGACCAAAAUAAAACAUCAUUUGCGUAUCUUAACAUCCCAGAAUGAUAUCAGAUUUGAAAACAUAGAGAUGUUUUUCUGUGCCCCGAAUAAAGCAAGAAGAGCAAGGGACGCUAAGGACACGGAAGGAGAAGCUGAGAUUGGCCUGCGAUGAUCAUGAUUAAAAGAUGAAGCACUGAGACUGCCCUCACUGCUACACCGGCUGGCCAUGGCUUUUUAAUAAGGGCACCACUCCUGUGUGCAUACAUGUGUGCGAGUGUGUGUGUGUGUGUGUGUGAAUGGUGAAUCACACACUCUGGCAAGAACUCAUUACUGAUAAUGUGUUGUCUACUUUUUAAUUGUUUUUGUCCUGUCCCUGACUUGACCUCUAUUUUCGUCAACCUCCAACUAACAAUGUACACUACAUAGACAAAAGUGAUGUGACACAUUUGAAUUUAUAAGAAAUGAAAAUUCUUCUUAUAUAAUCAUCCUUUGGAAAGGAUUCUGGCGUCUCAAUGGAAUUGUUUUUUCUUCAUCUUAUUUAACUGAUUAAAAGGUGUGUCUGAUUUUUUUUGUUUAAAGAAAAAAUGUAUGACAGUUGUUUUGCAUUGAUGUUUGUUCACACAAUGUUCAAGAUAGAAACUGAGGAAAACAUUCCCAAAUGUGUGGAUUGACAGAAUGGACCAACCACCAAGAUUGUAUCCAAAAAGUAGCUGUGUGUUCAAAUCACAAGUUUUGUGUACAGAUUAUAAAAUGACAAUUAAGAAGAAAUGUUUCUAGUGGCAUGCAGUAUUUCACAGAAUCUAGUCAAUAAAGCUCUUAUAGAAACGUGA